AGAUGAGGGCGAAGAUGGCAGCGGCGGCAGCUCUCUUGUGGGUGCAUGACUCCCAUCCAUCUCUAAGCCUAUCCAGCCAAAACUUGCCUACACCAUUUACAGCAAGCCAUCCUGAUGAAUCCCACAGAAUUUACUCGGUUAGUGUGAUGAAAAAUGAGAGAGGUGAUGAUGAUGAUGAUGAUGAUGAUGAUGAUGAUGAUGAUGCCGAAAGUUAACGGGAAUAGUCACACAAAGGAUCCAAUGCACCAGGAAAAACGAAGUUUGGACGCUUUUGGAAUGGGUCACAUACAGGAGCUUCUGAUGCAGAUGUGACUGCGAGCAAGUGUCUCAUGCAGCCUGCUUGACUGCAGCCCGAGACACAUGCGUGCUCCUGCACCAAAGGUAACUAAAUCCACUUGGCCACCUCUGAGGUAAAUGGGUUUAAGACACAUGCACAUUAUUUGGUUUGUCUCCAUCAGACCCAACAGUCCUGACAGCAGUGCAGGUGGAGAGGGAUUAAAGAUUGGCUUGGAUUCUACUUCAAAGUCAUCAUUAAAGCUGAGUGGAAUAGGAAGAGCACACUUUUGGGAUGGUGAAGACUCCAAAGAAUACUGCACCAAAUCAAUACCAGAGCAGGAAAUCAUGUCAUUUCCAUGUUGACUUUGCUUGCAAAUGUUGAGGGGUUUACCUGUGCAUAAAGGACGUACAGAGGAAAACAAAUCCAAGAUAGACAAGUCCAACAUAUGAACUUGCUGAAAUCAGGCUGCACGGAAGACGAAACGAGGAAGAAGGUUCCGAUGCCGAACACGAAGGCUGAUCUCGACACAUCUCUCCACAUAACCAAAUUCUCUGACACAAUUCAAGAGAAAAUUUA